CUGCUUUACUCCUAUCUCUAAACACCCG
rnacentral:piRNA from 1 species